ACGAACCUCAAAGUUCCCAUCUCCUUCAUCAUUUCUUUCCCAUCUCUAGUCAAAAUCUCCUUGUUAGGGAGGAUUAUGUCUCCGUUGAUUCUCCUAGUAUAGCCAAAACUCCAUGAGAUUUUGAAGUGCAAGAGACCCAAGGUUUUGAGAUUCUUGGUGAUGGACGUAGUGAUGGGAUUGGUUGAUUUUGUGAUGCCUGGUUGAGGUAAAAUUGGUUGGCUUUCUAAGUGAUCACCAGAUUUGGUUUUCUUGGUCUUUGUGACAACGGAAUCAAAUCUAGGUCAGUGCCCUUUUCACUUUGGAUGACGCGUUCUUCCCUGCUGCCCAUGGGGGGAAAAGGUUCCUUGAUUGUGUG